GCGCAUGCUGAUGCCAGAACUGGAUAUCUGCCCAGAAACAGUACAAAACAAGCCUUUUGGGGCCAAACAAGCCAGCCCUCACCACAGAUCUGCUGGAGCUCACUCCUGCUGUCAAGCUGCUUUUAGAACUGCUUUAUUGGCAUGAUGGGCACUGCACACCUUGCUGGAGCCAGCAACUACUUAAAGAAGAGCUGUUUGAUCAAGAACCAAUGCAUAGUGAAACAUCUCUUAAAGGAUCACGUUGUAAUGAAGCACUUGGAUUUGACUGACAUCUGAAUUCCCAAGGAAAACCAAAAAUAUGCCUCUUUCUAAUGCCUGAACUCAGUUUCCACAUGAGAAGCUCAUUUUCACUUUCUGAGGAGGCCAUAACUAACAGUUUUUAGAAGUCAACCAAAGUCAACCUGAACAUCAACAAAAUGAAUGACAGUUCUGUUGCACUUUGUCCUGUGAUUGAUGCAGACAGCACUUCGGCGUUCAGUAAACAUACUCUGAUAUCCAUACAAAGCACUUAACUGCAGUUGUGAAGUACAAGAGCCAAUGUAAAGCUGAAGUACAAAGCUCUGGGGAAAAAAAUAUCAGGAAGAGUUACCAAUGUGGCACGUCACAGUCUUGCUCCACAAUCCUGCUGUGAACCUUGCUGUGGUUCCCUGUGUUGACUCUGUGGCAGCAGAUAACAGAUCAAUUAAACUCGGUGCGUAAAAUUAUAACAUGCCUUAUUCUUAAGAGUUACACAAAUUAUAUUGACACACUCAAUGUAAAUAAAAGGAAGAUAAGCUGCCUUCUGUCUCCAAAGCAAUAAGGCAGAAAUAAAUGUUUGAUUAGA